AGAGUUUGAUUCUGGCUCAGGAUGAACGCUGGCGGCGUGCCUAACACAUGCAAGUCGAACGAAGCACUUGGUUGAUCCUUCGGGUGAUACUUUGUGACUGAGUGGCGGACGGGUGAGUAACGCGUGGGUAACCUGCCCUGUACAGGGGGAUAACAGCCAGAAAUGGCUGCUAAUACCGCAUAAGCGCACGGAAGGACAUCCUUCAGUGUGAAAAAACUCCGGUGGUACAGGAUGGGCCCGCGUCUGAUUAGCUUGUUGGCGGGGUAAAGGCCCACCAAGGCGACGAUCAGUAGCCGGUCUGAGAGGAUGAACGGCCACAUUGGAACUGAGACACGGUCCAAACUCCUACGGGAGGCAGCAGUGGGGAAUAUUGCACAAUGGGGGAAACCCUGAUGCAAGCAACGCCGCGUGAGUGAAGAAGUAUUUCGGUAUGUAAAGCUCUAUCAGCAGGGAAGAUAAUGACGGUACCUGACUAAGAAGCUCCGGCUAAAUACGUGCCAGCCGCGGC
rnacentral:rRNA from 1 species